GCGUAAUAGCACAAUAGCAGUGCACUGGUAUCCCCAUACCAGAGAUGCGGGUUCAUAUCCCGUUUGCAUCUCCUUUCA
rnacentral:tRNA from 1 species